rnacentral:SRP_RNA from 1 species
GCCGGGCGCGCUGGCGUGCGCCUGUAGUCCCAGCUCCUCGGGAGGCUGAGGCUGAAGGAUCGCUUGAGCUCAGGAGUUCUGGGCUGCAGUGCGCUAUGCCGAUCGGGUGUCCGCACUAAGUUCGGCAUCAAUAUGGUGACCUCCUGGGAGCGGGGGACCACCAGGUUGCCUAAGGAGGGGUGAAUUGGCCCAGGUGGGAAACGGAGCAGGUCAAAAAAAAAGUAUAACACAGUGAUAAUCCUUGCUUUUCUACUUGCACUUAUAAUUUUUUAAGUACUUUU